AAUUCUUAAAUUUUAAAAAUUACUAUUUUUUAAAAAAAUCACGGGACGGUAAAAAAAUUACAGAACGAGUUCUAUUUUGGAAUUGAGUUAUAUGGUGGAUGUAUUUGAAUCAAUAUUUAUAAAAUUUCAAAAUAUUAUUAAUAUGCUGUUUUAAUAGGGGUUAAAACUUCAGUUUUUUAACAAUUAUCUCAUGGAUUCGUGGUAUACCGUUACUUAAUAACAAUUAUAAACUGUAAAAUAUAAAUAUUUUAUAAAAAUAAAAUUU
rnacentral:sRNA from 1 species